rnacentral:rRNA from 1 species
ACUCAAAGGAAUUGACGGGGGCCCGCACAAGCAGUGGAGUAUGUGGUUUAAUUCGAAGCAACGCGAAGAACCUUACCGGGGCUUGACAUCUACGGAACCUUGCAGAGAUGCGAGGGUGCCUUCGGGAACCGUAAGACAGGUGGUGCAUGGUUGUCGUCAGCUCGUGUCGUGAGAUGUUGGGUUAAGUCCCGCAACGAGCGCAACCCUUAUUGUCAGUUGCCAUCAUUUAGUUGGGCACUCUGGCAAGACUGCCGGUGACAAAUCGGAGGAAGGUGGGGACGACGUCAAAUCAUCAUGCCCCUUAUGUCCCGGGCUACACACGUACUACAAUGGCCGUUAACAACGGGGUGCAAUACCGCGAGGUGGAGCAAAUCCCAAAAAACGGUCUCAGUUCGGAUUGCAGGCUGAAACCCGCCUGCAUGAAGUCGGAAUUGCUAGUAAUCGCGAAUCAGCAUGUCGCGGUGAAUACGUUCCCGGGCCUUGUACACACCGCCCGU